rnacentral:rRNA from 1 species
GACGAACGCUGGCGGCGUGCCUAAUACAUGCAAGUAGAACGCUGAAGGAGGAGCUUGCUUCUCUGGAUGAGUUGCGAACGGGUGAGUAACGCGUAGGUAACCUGCCUGGUAGCGGGGGAUAACUAUUGGAAACGAUAGCUAAUACCGCAUAAGAGUAGAUGUUGCAUGACAUUUGCUUAAAAGGUGCAAUUGCAUCACUACCAGAUGGACCUGCGUUGUAUUAGCUAGUUGGUGGGGUAACGGCUCACCAAGGCGACGAUACAUAGCCGACCUGAGAGGGUGAUCGGCCACACUGGGACUGAGACACGGCCCAGACUCCUACGGGAGGCAGCAGUAGGGAAUCUUCGGCAAUGGACGGAAGUCUGACCGAGCAACGCCGCGUGAGUGAAUAAGGUUUUCGGAUCGUAAAGCUCUGUUGUAAGAGAAGAACGAGUGUGAGAGUGGAAAGUUCACACUGUGACGGUAUCUUACCAGAAAGGGACGGCUAACUACGUG